rnacentral:rRNA from 1 species
GACGGAGGGGCAAGCGUUGUCCGGAAUUAUUGGGCGUAAAGAGCUUGUAGGCGGUUUGUCGCGUCUGCCGUGAAAAUUCGAGGCUCAACCUCGAACUUGCGGUGGGUACGGGCAGACUAGAGUGUGGUAGGGGAGACUGGAAUUCCUGGUGUAGCGGUGAAAUGCGCAGAUAUCAGGAGGAACACCGGUGGCGAAGGCGGUUCUCUGGCAAUGUUCUGACGUGAGGAGCGAAAGUGUGGGGAGGCGAAACAGG